GUUACAAACGUCACAUCUUUGAUAUUUUAUUUUUAAAUAAUUAUUUUACCUUAUUUCCUUUAAUAUUUCAUUAAUAAUUAUCUUCUUCUAAUUGGUUUACCCAUUUUCCCCUUUAAAACUCGGUUGGCGCUCUCUUUUAUUACCUUCUUUUAUUAUCUUCUAUUUAAUAUAUCUCUUUCAUUUAAAUCAUCAUACUGAACAUACCUCGUAUAUUCAUACUCUCCAAAUAUCUGUAUUUUCAAUACGGAACAUGCCGCUACUUCAUAGUACUUGGUUGUCAUUUUAAAUGUCGUUUUCAAUGACAGUGUCACUUCAUCGACUUGACCCCCUACUCCCUGACAUACACUGGAAGGGAAAAAUUAAUCCUUAAAAAGGCAUGUAAUUCGAAAAAUAAAUCAUUUCUAUUUCAUCAAAUCAUCUCUUGGGUUUUUUGGAAAGAAACCACUUUUCUCCCUCCGGGAGUUUCAACAACCCUCAAAUCGCCGGCGAUACAACAAAGAGGACCAUGUCAUCAGGGCUGCAACCACAUAACCAAGACUGCAACGACCAACAUCCGUAGGCCUGGUGGAAUACAACACCUACAACCCCGGAGCCCGUUGCAGAACCAGCAGCAGUACCAUACGACAUCAAGAAGAUACCAUCAGCGACCAAAAGCCAUAAUUUUUUGGAAAGAAACCACUUUUCUCCCUCCGGGAGUUUCAACAACCCUCAAAUCGCCGGCGAUACAACAAAGAGGACCAUGUCAUCAGGGCUGCAACCACAUAACCAAGACUGCAACGACCAACAUCCGUAGGCCUGGUGGAAUACAACACCUACAACCCCAGAGCCCGUUGCAGAACCAGCAGCAGUACCAUACGACAUCAAGAAGAUACCAUCAGCUACCAAAAGCCAUAAGUAUAGUCCAGAAUUGUUAGUUUUUGGCAAGAAUUUAAAUACAUUUGUUAAUGCAAUUUACUAAGUCAUUUUAUUUAUUAUAUCUUUUAUGAAAAAUAAACAUGAUUAGUUAAAAUUA